rfam:Triticum aestivum genome assembly, contig: Triticum_aestivum_CS42_TGACv1_scaffold_640727_T_5BL-0.209143_7BS-0.153329
CAUCUACUCCCUCAGUCCACAAAUAUUUGUCAUCAAAAUAAAUAAAAAGAAUGUAUCUAGACGUAUUUUGGUUUUAGAUACAUUUUUUUUAUCUAUUUUGAUGACAAUUAUUUUCGAACGGGGAGAGUAUUAU